UGGAAUGGUGGCAGACGCGUAGUAGGGC
rnacentral:piRNA from 1 species